UAGCUGCAACUGAAGUUUUGUCUAAAAACAAUGCUCUGUUACGAAAGCAUAUUGAUUUGAAGUACUUGGCUGACAAGAUGGAAGAGAGAAAAAUUAUCACCAGCGACAAAAGAAGUAUAGUCAGUGACACUAUGAGUGGGCUACCUGAAGACCAAAGAAUGGAUAGACUCCUUAAUGAAUUGAAAGAUGCCAUUACUUUUGAUGGAUCAAUAUUUCCAUGGCUUGUUGAAAUAUUGAAUGAUUAUGAUACUGUGACAUCACGAGGUGUUGCUAAUAAACUAAUAAAGGAUUAUAAUGAGUCAACUUGAUUUACUGCAACAUAGAUUCUACAUUAUUGUCUCAAAAUGUCAAUUCUAACUGUCCAGACGAUUUGUACCUGACAUUCUGUGGAUUGAUUUAUUAUUACUUAUUUCCCUUAAUCUCUCUAAUUAUUUUUAUUUGUGUUGUUUUCUUUACGUUAUAGUGAUUUUUGUUUGUGUGAUAUUGUCUGUUCAGUUGAUAUGGCUUAAUAUACUAAUUAGCUUA